UAGGGGAGUUGCUUGUCCAACUCCUUUUGCUUUGGUUUGAGAUCCAUUGGCUAAAGUGACAGUAGGAAGGGACUGUGAAUACUCGAUAUUUGACAAAAGUGAUUAUUACCAGAGAUAUGAUCAGAAGCGGCUGAGCCCACAACCCAUUGUUCAAGAGUACUAGAUUGGGAAACACAAGCAAAAGAAUUACCAGUAACAGAAG
rnacentral:lncRNA from 1 species